AACGAACGCUGGCGGCGUGCCUAACACAUGCAAGUCGAGCGCGAAAAGGGCAACCUGAGUAGAGCGGCGCACGGGUGAGUAUCACGUGGGUAAUCUGCCUCGAAGCCUGGAAUAACCUUCCGAAAGGUUGGCUAAUGCCAGAUAAGCUCACGGGAACUUCGGUUCUUGUGGGAAAAGGUGGCCUCUGUUUACAAGCUAUCACUUCGAGAUGAGCCCGCGGCCCAUCAGGUAGUUGGCGGGGUAACGGCCCACCAAGCCUACGACGGGUAGCUGGUCUGAGAGGACGAUCAGCCACACUGGAACGGGGACACGGUCCAGACUCCUACGGGAGGAAGCAGUGGGGAAUUUUGCACAAUGGGCGCAAGCCUGAUGCAGCAACGCCGCGUGUGUGAUGAAGGUCUUCGGAUCGUAAAGCACUUUCGACCGGGACGAAAAAGCGACACCCAACACGUGUCGCCCUGACGGUACCGGGAGAAGAAGCACCGGCUAACUCUGUGCCAGCCGCCGCCGUAACAC
rnacentral:rRNA from 1 species